UCCGGCUUGUCACCGGCAGUCUCCCAUGAGUCCCCAACUUAAUGCUGGCAACAUGGGACAGGGGUUGCGCUCGUUACGGGACUUAACCCAACAUCUCACGACACGAGCUGACGACAACCAUGCACCACCUGUAACCGAGUGUCCAAAGAGUUCCACAUUUCUGCGGCGUUCUCGGUUAUGUCAAGCCUUGGUAAGGUUCUUCGCGUUGCAUCGAAUUAAACCACAUGCUCCGCUGCUUGUGCGGGCCCCCGUCAAUUCCUUUGAGUUUUAGCCUUGCGGCCGUACUCCCCAGGCGGGGUGCUUAAUGCGUUAGCUUCGGCACGGAUGGAGUCGACACCACCCACACCUAGCACCCAUCGUUUACGGCUGGGACUAC
rnacentral:misc_RNA from 1 species